rnacentral:rRNA from 1 species
GACGAACGCUGGCGGCGUGCUUAACACAUGCAAGUCGAACGGAAAGGCCCUGCUUUUGUGGGGUGCUCGAGUGGCGAACGGGUGAGUAACACGUGAGUAACCUUCCCUUGACUUUGGGAUAACUUCAGGAAACUGGUGCUAAUACCGGAUAGGAGCUCCUGCUGCAUGGUGGGGUUUGGAAAGUUUCGGCGGUUGGGGAUGGACUCGCGGGUUAUCAGCUUGUUGGUGGGGUAGUGGCUUACCAAGGCUUUGACGGGUAGCCGGCCUGAGAGGGUGACCGGCCACAUUGGGACUGAGAUACGGCCCAGACUCCUACGGGAGGCAGCAGUGGGGAAUAUUGCACAAUGGGCGGAAGCCUGAUGCAGCAACGCCGCGUGCGGGAUGACGGCCUUCGGGUUGUAAACCGCUUUCGCCUGUGACGAAGCGUGAGUGACGGUAAUGGGUAAAGAAGCACCGGCUAACUACGUG